rnacentral:rRNA from 1 species
CGAGGAAAAGAAACUAACAAGGAUUCCCCUAGUAACUGCGAGUGAAGCGGGAAGAGCUCAAAUUUAAAAUCUGGCGUGCCUCUGGUCGUCCGAGUUGUAGUCUGGAGAAGCGUUUUCCGUGUCGGACCGUGUAUAAGUCCCUUGGAACAGGGCGUCGUAGAGGGUGAGAAUCCCGUCUUUGACACGGACUACCGAUGCUUUGCGAUGCGCUCUCAAAGAGUCGAGUUGUUUGGGAAUGCAGCUCAAAACGGGUGGUAAAUUCCAUCUAAAGCUAAAUAUAGGCGAGAGACCGAUAGCGAACAAGUACCGUGAGGGAAAGAUGAAAAGCACUUUGGAAAGAGAGUUAAACAGUACGUGAAAUUGCUGAAAGGGAAACGCUUGAAGUCAGUCGUGUCUGCCAGGACUCAGCCUCGCUUCUGCUUGGUGUACUUUCUGGUCGGAUGGGCCAACAUCGAUUUCGACCGUCGGAGAAAGGCUUUGGGAAUGUGGCACCUUCGGGUGUGUUAUAGCCCUUUGUCGUAUACGACGGUCGGGAUCGAGGACCGCAGCACGCCUUUACGGCCGGGGUUUUGCCCACGUACGUGCUUAGGAUGUUGGCGUAAUGGCUUUAAGCGACCCGUCUUGAAACACGGACCAAGGAGUCUAACAUGCCUGCGAGUGUUUGGGUGGAAAACCCAUGCGCGUAAUGAAAGUGAUAGCUGAGAUCCUCUCAUCAGGAGCAUCAGCGCCUGGACUAGAUCUACGGAGACGGUUCUACGGUA